rnacentral:rRNA from 1 species
GACGAACGCUGGCGGCGUGCCUAACACAUGCAAGUCGAACGCAGUGGGGACGGUUGAGUAACACGUGGGUAACCUCCCAUCAGAGGGGAUAACACUUGGAAACAGGUGCUAAACUGAUAUUGAUGGAUGGACUCGCUGUGCAUUAGCUAGUUGGUGGGGUAACGGCUCACCAAGGCGACGAUGCAUAGCCGGCCUGAGAGGAUGAUCGGCCACACUGGAACUGAGACACGGCCCAGACUCCUACGGGAGGCAGCAGUGGGGAAUAUUCGGCAAUGGACGAAAGUCUGACCGAGCAACGCCGCGUGAGUGAAGAAGGUUUUCGGAUCGUAAAACUCUGUUGUUGGAGAAGCGGUAUCUAACCAGAAAGCAACGGCUAACUACGUGCCAGCCGCCGCGGUAAUAC